CCUUUUUGCUUUAGAAUUCCUACGCUUUACCGUUGCCAAGUAGUUGGGCAAAGCGUUUGGAUUCUAAAACGAAAUAA
rnacentral:pre_miRNA from 9 species